GCCAGCAUGGUGCAGUGGUCUGAACGUUGGACUGCAACUCUGGAGACCAGGGUUGGACGCCCUCUUUGGCC